GUCCCAGGCCCACGGACCUCAGACCCCUCACACUCCAGGGCGGGGCCUGAGCGCAGGACCAGGAGGCUGACAGAGGGAGGAUCAGCAGAGUCUCCCUGGUGGAGCCCUGGAGGAGCCUCACCAGGGACAGGGGACUGUCAGGGAGUAUGAAACCAUGAGGUUGAGGUCAUCACUGUCCAGACAGGGUGUCAGCAAGAGCAAGGACAAGAGCAGAGAGAGCUCGGGGCCUUCGGAGUGCUCCGAGCUGCUGACUUGUUGGAGGGGUGGGUGUGGGCCCGGUGUGUACCUGUGAAUCCCAGGACGCCAUUUGAACCGGUUCAGGAUUGCCCUCCCUCCCAUCGCUGGAGACCCUCUGCAGUCUCCGCCUUGAACUCCAUAUUCAGAGGACCACAAGCUCAUUUUGUCAGUUUUAUUAGAUUCUCUGAAGAUGACUAAGGCCGAGCCCCGUCUAACCUCAUGAGGAAGCCACCCUCACGGAAAUCCCACGAAGCAGCAGAGCAGCCUGUGGAAGCCAGAAUCUCCUGCACCAGGAAGCUGGCCCGAGGGAGGCCAGGGAUGGAGCGCACAGAGCUGGGACCCCUGGCUCGCCGGGACCCCCUCCAUGGGCCGGGACAAGGCACCAUCCUCUCCACAACACAGGCUCCGCAGUUGGCAGGU